rnacentral:lncRNA from 1 species
CCCGUGGUAAACAACAAGCAGCAUUUAAUUAACUUGUAAGUCUGUGGGUCAGCUGGGUUGGCUUGGCUGGGGUAGCUCAGCUCUGCCCCCUCCUCCUCCCAGGACCAGCAGGCUAGGCUGGGCAUGUUCUUGUGGCAGUAGCUGAGGCACAAGCAGGCAAGCCCAACCACGGAAGUGCUUAUCAAGCCCCUGCUCGAUGCACCUCUGCUCUCAUCCCAUUGGCCAGAGCAAGUCCCAUGGCUGAGCAACGUCCACUCAAGUUGCAAUGGGAGGGCACUGCAAAAUAACAUGGGCCUUCCACACUGUAGACACAUAGUAAAUAUUUAUCAGAAGGAAGGAAGAGAAAGAGAGGGAGGGAAGAAGGAAGAAAUGGAAGGAGAGAGGGAAGGAGAGAUGAUGAGGAUGUGAGUCCCAAGACGGCAGGGACUGUGUGUUGUUCACUGCUAUAUCCUAAGAUCUCCAUCCAGCAGCCAGUAGCAGGCUCAAAACUAUUUGUUAAAUCAAUGAAUGAAUAGAACUGCAGUAAAUAUGUGUGCAGAGGCAAAAAA